UACGAAGGGGGCUAGCGUUGUUCGGAAUUACUGGGCGUAAAGCGUGCGCAGGCGGCUUCUCAAGUCAGGGGUGAAAGCCCAGAGCUCAACUCUGGAAUUGCCUUUGAGACUGAGUGGCUUGAGUACGAGAGAGGUGAGUGGAAUUCCCAGUGUAGAGGUGAAAUUCGUAGAUAUUGGGAAGAACACCGGUGGCGAAGGCGGCCAUCUGGACCGCAACUGACGCUGAGGCGCGAAAGCCAGGGGAGCGAACGGG
rnacentral:rRNA from 1 species